AGAGCGAACGCUGGCGGCAGGCCUAACACAUGCAAGUCGAGCGCCCCGCAAGGGGAGCGGCAGACGGGAGAGUAACACGUGGGAACGUACCCUUCAGUUCGGAACAACCCAGGGAAACUUGGGCUAAUACCGAAUACGUCCGUAAGGAGAAAGAUUUAUCGCUGAAGGAUCGGCCCGCGUCUGAUUAGCUUGUUGGUGAGGUAAUGGCUCACCAAGGCUACGAUCAGUAGCUGGUCUGAGAGGAUGAUCAGCCUCACUGGGACUGAGACACGGCCCAGACUCCUACGGGAGGCAGCAGUGGGGAAUAUUGGACAAUGGGCGCAAGCCUGAUCCAGCCAUGCCGCGUGGGUGAUGAAGGCCCUAGGGUUGUAAAGCCCUUUCGGCGGGGAAGAUAAUGACGGUACCCGCAGAAGAGCCCCGGCUAACUUCGCGCCAGCAGCCGC
rnacentral:rRNA from 1 species